GUACACAAAAAUGCACAUGCUGUGAGCUCGAUGAGUAGGGCGGGACACGUGGUAUCCUGUCUGAAUAUGGGGGGACCAUCCUCCAAGGCUAAAUACUCCUGACUGACCGAUAGUGAACCAGUACCGUGAGGGAAAGGCGAAAAGAACCCCGGCGAGGGGAGUGAAAAAGAACCUGAAACCGUGUACGUACAAGCAGUGGGAGCACAGAGCAAUCUGUGUGACUGCGUACCUUUUGUAUAAUGGGUCAGCGACUUAUAUUCUGUAGCAAGGUUAACCGAAUAGGGGAGCCGAAGGGAAACCGAGUCUUAACUGGGCGUUAAGUUGCAGGGUAUAGACCCGAAACCCGGUGAUCUAGCCAUGGGCAGGUUGAAGGUUGGGUAACACUAACUGGAGGACCGAACCGACUAAUGUUGAAAAAUUAGCGGAUGACUUGUGGCUGGGGGUGAAAGGCCAAUCAAACCGGGAGAUAGCUGGUUCUCCCCGAAAGCUAUUUAGGUAGCGCCUCGUGAAUUCAUCUCCGGGGGUAGAGCACUGUUUCGGCAAGGGGGUCAUCCCGACUUACCAACCCGAUGCAAACUGCGAAUACCGGAGAAUGUUAUCACGGGAGACACACGGCGGGUGCUAACGUCCGUCGUGAAGAGGGAAACAACCCAGACCGCCAGCUAAGGUCCCAAAGUCAUGGUUAAGUGGGAAACGAUGUGGGAAGGCCCAGACAGCCAGGAUGUUGGCUUAGAAGCAGCCAUCAUUUAAAGAAAGCGUAAUAGCUCACUGGUCGAGUCGGCCUGCGCGGAAGAUGUAACGGGGCUAAACCAUGCACCGAAGCUGCGGCAGCGACGCUGAUGCGUUGUUGGGUAGGGGAGCGUUCUGUAAGCCUGUGAAGGUGUACUGUGAGGUAUGCUGGAGGUAUCAGAAGUGCGAAUGCUGACAUAAGUAACGAUAA
rnacentral:rRNA from 1 species